GCACUCGCUUUGGCAGCACAUACACUAAAAUUGGAAGGACACAGAGAAGAUUAGCAUGGCCCCUGAGCAAGGAUGACACACAAAUUCUUGAAGUGUUCUAUAUUUUU